rnacentral:rRNA from 1 species
GGUCCCGCCUGCCCUGUGACUAUAAGUUUAACGGCCGCGGUAUUUUAACCGUGCGAAGGUAGCGUAAUCACUUGUCUUUUAAAUGAAGACCUGUAUGAAUGGCAUCACGAGGGCUUAGCUGUCUCCCAUCUCCAGUCAAUGAAAUUGACCUCCCCGUGCAGAGGCGGGGAUAAUUACAUAAGACGAGAAGACCCUAUGGAGCUUUAGACCUAAAGUAAGUCACGUUUAACAUGCUAAAAUAACAGAAAAAACUUAGUGAUAUUUACUGAAGUGUCUUUGGUUGGGGCGACCGCGGGGUAAAACACAACCCCCAUGUGGACCGGGGAUAUUAUCCCUAAUACUCAGAGCCUCUACUCCAAGUAACAGAAAUUCUGACUUUUCUGAUCCGGUAUAACCGAUCAACGAACCGAGUUACCCUAGGGAUAACAGCGCAAUCCCCUCUCAGAGCCCAUAUCGACGAGGGGGUUUACGACCUCGAUGUUGGAUCAGGACAUCCUAAUGGUGCAGCCGCUAUUAAGGGUUCGUUUGUUCAACGAUUAAAGUCCUACGUGAUC